rnacentral:other from 1 species
AGAGUCCUGAUGUGUUCGUUAAUACCGAAUGUUUUGAGCCAACACUUUUUAUUCGGGAGUCAGUGUUUCUGCAAGGCGUGCAUGCCUCCGCGAAGAGGAAGCAUAAAUUGCGGAACAGGGCACCCACCUGCGAGAGCAGGUUCAAAACUUAGGAACUGACGGCACAGUUGGGACUCUC